UAGUAGUAAUUAAUAAUAAUAAAAUAUUAAAUAUUUUCUUGUGUAUCUCAUUUGGUACAUCUACCGAAAAUAUUUCACUGUAGGCUGCAGAUAUGAACCCGAUAAUGCCUUCUCCGGCGAUGGUGAUAGUGACGGCGACGACGAUCUCUCCGAUAGCGGCGGAAGAAGGAAUUGGGCGCACAUUAGUGAGAGAGAGAGGGAGUGAGGGAAGGAGGCGAUGGUGUAUAGCUAAAGAUGAGAAAUAAAGAAUUGAUGAACAAAUCGAAGAUAAAGGAUUGAAAGUUCAGUGGAAGGAGAAAAUGGACCAUGAUGAAUAAUUGGAGAUAGAGGUUAGGAUCGUAUAUAGUAGUAGGACCAUUUAAAUAUAUUAAUUGAAAGUUUGGUAGUGGAACCAUUUACAUUAAUUGAAAGUAUAGUGGAGGGAAGGUAGUGGGACCAUUUAAACGUACUAAUUGAAAGUUUGAUUAAUGAGACCGUUAAAAUAUAUAUUGAAAAUUUAGUGAACAUGAUGAAUAAUUGGAUAUAGAGAGAUUAAGAUCGUAGAUAGUAGUAGGAUCAUUUAAAUAUACUAAUUGAAAGUUUGGUAGUGAAACCAUUUACAUUAAUUGAAAAUAUAGUGGAGGAAAGGUAAUAGGACCAUUUAAAUGCACUAAUUAAAAGUUUGUUUAAUGGGACCAUUAAAAUGCAUAUUGAAAAUUUAGUGAUGGAAAGAAGAAGAGUUACAUUAGUGAGGGUGAAGAAAAACUUGCCACGUGGCAACAAAUAUUGAGGAUUCAUAUAGUUUAAUAGAUAGAUGGAUACACUAUCAAAUCACCAUCCAAUCUGUUUAGAUU
rnacentral:lncRNA from 1 species